rnacentral:rRNA from 1 species
AACGAACGCUGGCGGCAUGCCUAACACAUGCAAGUCGAACGAAGCCUUCGGGCUUAGUGGCGCACGGGUGCGUAACGCGUGGGAAUCUGCCCUUGGGUUCGGAAUAACAGUUAGAAAUGACUGCUAACACCGAAUGAUGUCUUCGGACCAAAGAUUUAUCGCCCAAGGAUGAGCCCGCGUCGGAUUAGCUAGUUGGUGAGGUAAAGGCUCACCAAGGCGACGACCCGUAGCCGGUCUGAGAGGAUGAUCAGCCACACUGGGACUGAGACACGGCCCAGACUCCUACGGGAGGCAGCAGUGGGGAAUAUUGGACAAUGGGCGAAAGCCUGAUCCAGCAAUGCCGCGUGAGUGAUGAAGGCCUUAGGGUUGUAAAGCUCUUUUACCCGAGAUGAUAAUGACAGUAUCGGGAGAAUAAGCUCCGGCUAACUCCGUGCCAGCAGCCGCGGUAAU